GAGUUUGAUCAUGGUUCAGAUUGAACGCUGGCGGCAUGCCUAACACAUGCAAGUCGAACGGCAGCACAGUGUGUAGCAAUACACAUGGGUGGCGAGUGGCGGACGGGUGAGUAAUACAUGGGAAUCUGCCCAGUAGCGGGGGACAACCCGGAGAAAUCCGGGCUAAUACCGCAUACGCCCUACGGGGGAAAGCGGGGGACCGAAAGGCCUCGCACUAUUGGAUGAGCCCAUGUCGGAUUAGCUAGUUGGUAGGGUAACGGCCUACCAAGGCGACGAUCCGUAGCUGGUCUGAGAGGACGAUCAGCCACACCGGAACUGAGACACGGUCCGGACUCCUACGGGAGGCAGCAGUGGGGAAUAUUGGACAAUGGGGGAAACCCUGAUCCAGCAAUGCCGCGUGUGUGAAGAAGGCCUGCGGGUUGUAAAGCACUUUCGGUGGGACAAAAAGCGCCGUGCCAACACCACGGUUUUUGAUUUAACCCAUAGAAGAAGCACCGGCUAACUCUGUGCCAGCAGCCGCGGUAAUACAGAGGGUGCGAGCGUUAAUCGGAAUUACUGGGCGUA
rnacentral:rRNA from 1 species